rnacentral:rRNA from 1 species
CACGUAGGGCGCAAGCGUUGUCCGGAAUUAUUGGGCGUAAAGAGCUCGUAGGCGGUCUGUUGCGUCUGCCGUGAAAACCCGGGGCUUAACCCCUGGCUUGCAGUGGAUACGGACAGACUAGAGGUAGGUAGGGGAGAAUGGAAUUCCCGGUGUAGCGGUGAAAUGCGCAGAUAUCGGGAGGAACACCGGUGGCGAAGGCGGUUCUCUGGGCCUUACCUGACGCUGAGGAGCGAAAGCGUGGGGAGCGAACAGG